UGUUCUGUGAAUUGAGGCAAAGUGUAAAAAAUAAUUAUUAAAAUGUUGAUUUUUAUCAGCGGAUAUCACCAAAACUAUUUGAAAUACAAAAAAUUUCAAACACCGAUAGAAAAUUGCAUCAGCUUUAAAACAAAAAACGGCAACUUUUUGGUGCCACUCUAUGCCCUGCUAACCUCAAGACCAGGAACAGUUCUCAAUCCAACUUGCAUUACAGUUUCCUAACUUACCGGUGCACCCAAAGAGGUUCUCUUCUUGCAAGUUGUACGUGCCAUCGACACACUCCGUGCACCCCCGACCCAUCACCAGUGAUUUACAGACGCAUUCUCCACUCUCCGAGUCGCAAACAGCAAUCCCUCCAAGAACCCCCGAAAUAUUGCAUUUACAUUCUUCGCAUCCUUGGGGAUUAUUUGGACUCAAGUUCCAGUACAAGGGCCUACAUUUAUUACAGAUCCGUCCCUCGACCCGUUCUUUACACUGGCAGAGCUCCCCGGCUGGGACCGACCCACACCCGGCAAAACCAGCCACAACUCCAGCCGGAUGGCAGUUGCAGUCCUCACAAGCCGGGAAAUUGUAGAAACCUUCUCUGCACGAGUCGCAACGAAGGCCGGCAAAAUUGUGGUGACACUCGCAUUUGCCUUCACCGUCGCACGAAACCCCGAUGGAGCCGUGGCUGUCGCAUUCGCAAGGGUGUUUAUAUGCGUAAGCUGCUAUCAUUACGGAAGAACUUAAAACAACAUUAACACCAAAAUUUAACAGAAGAGUUAAGUCUGCUGAAUCCACCGAAAUGGUAAAAACGCGCGCUGAAAUGUAACGAUUUUGUAAGUUUAAAGAACCACUAAUUGGAUAAUUACUGAUGGUUGGUUAUUCGAAAUUCGAAACGAAAUUUUGGAGUACUUACUAAAAUUCGUGAACGCUGAUAUAAACCAGGUAAGAACACUGACUGACUCUGAAUUUUUUGUCCUUAAGAUUUCCAAUAAUUGUACAACUUUUGAGGAAGCCCCAAUAGGCGUGCAAAGUGGCUAAAAUGUGAAAGAUACAACUCUGUACCGAUGUUAGUGGUAACAUACCACAAGAAAGGCUAUAACACCUAAUGGGACUGUGCCUAGUAGAAGGCCAGCGGCAGCUAAACCAUAAACAACUGCACCUACUGCACUAUAAACGUUUAGGCAACUCUUGUAGUACAUAACAAAUAGUAUUAAAAUAAGUUCUUGGAUAAGAAUGAUGGGGUACUCCAUGUAUGAUAGAAGGGCGUAACGAUUGCGGAAAUUGUACGAAAACAUUAUAGUGUAACUGGAAGAGCUCUAAUGUGUUUCACAGAGCAAAAAAUACAGUUUUACCUUGUUAAUUCCAUUAAUAAUCCUACAAGGUUAAUGCCGUUUGCAUUUUUAACCUUCAAAAUGCUCAAAAUUUGUGGGAUUUUCAAGAUGAAACACGUAGAGAUCGUGAUUAUACUUAAAACAUCCGAAAUGAAGUGUAAAAUAGAUGCGUCUUUUGCAAUUUCCAUUUUUCUAAAAAGUAAACCCGGAAGGAUUUUUUUUUUAAUUUCGAAACAGCUGAGUGUCAAGUGUCAAAUGUCACUGGAGCUUGUAUGCAAUCAGCUAUACUCGGCGAGCAUCUUGAUGCCUACCUUGUACUAAAUUUUAACAAAAAAAUUUAGCAAAAUUUUGCAAUAAUUUAAAACUAAAUUGCGUUAUAAAACUAGAGGAAUGUUAUUACUUUUUUAUAUAUUGUUACUUUACUACAUGCUUGUGAUCUUGGUUUUAAAGUUUUUUACAGUUAUUUACAGGAAUGUAAGAAGGCUUUUAAGAUUCAAAAGUUUUUUGCGUUUAAAGUUAACGACCUUUUUACGAGUUUGUGAUCUUAACACACGUUAUGGUUUCAAAUUAUUACAAAACUUUUUUAAAAUGUUAAGCCAAAAAUAGGCAACUUACAGUACUUCCUUCGUAUGGUUGGUUGUCUAAAAAUAAACUAAAAAUUAUAAAUUUUUAAAAUUGAUUUUUCGGACAAGGGUUACAGAAACGCAAAGAGGAAAAAAUUUAAAGAUUUUUUUGCAUUUCUGUGAUUUUAAUUUACAUUUUAAAUUAUAAAAUGUUUCAAAAAUUUUUAAGCUAAAUAAUAGGCAAUACACAGCACUAUUCUAUAUAGUUGGUUGCCUGAAAAAUAGAUUUGAAGGUUUCUAACAAUUAAAUUUUAAAAUGACUUUGAGACCAGGAUCCCAGGAAUACAAGGAUGUACGAUGUUGUUGUGGUAUUCUCCUCAACCCGAUUUUCGAAUUGUGGAACUUUUGGAUCAUUAUGUAUAUGGGAAUUUUAUAGUGAUUACAGCCAUCAAAGAGAUGUUUGUGCUAAUCGCAUUUUAUGGUACUGGAAGGAUAAAAUCCGACUUUGUAUUUCUAUUGGGGCACACAGGAUGAAUUGGCUGAGGACAGAAUGGUAUGGUUCUGGAUGGUACUAGUGGGUUAGGAUUGAUACAGUUACUAAAGUGAAUUGUUACACUUGAUAGACAAAUUCAAAGCUUCGCCCCAAUCGACGAACAAGUGAAAUUCCAAUAAGGACACAAUUUUGCGUCACACUUAGAUGCAAUGGAACAGUAAAGCUAAACGAGGCAGGAGAUACACCUGUUCGGUUGUGGCGUUCUUCUCAAGCUCAAGUUUUGAAUUGUGCGACUCCUAUAAUGUUUUAUUUUAUUUAUUUACUUGGGAACUUUAAAGUGUUUGCCCUUAUCGUAUUGUAUGGUACUGAAAGAAUAUAAGCCGACACAGACUGAUAUGGUUCUGGAUAGUACUGCUGGGUUAGCAUUUAUACAGUUACUAAAAUGGAUUGUUACACUACACCAUGAUAGAAAAAUUCAAAACUUCGCCUAAACCGUCCUAUAAAUGGGAUCCCAAUAAGGAACCCAAUUUUGCGUCACACUUGGAUGCGGUGGAAUUAGCUUUUUUAAACUUCUGUAUAAUUGGUUGCCUAGACAAACUGUCAAUUAUAAAUUCCAAAAUUUUAGAAACUUAAAAUUCACAGGAACGCAAGAAGGUCUUUAACCUUUUUAACUUUAAGACCUUCUUGCGUUCCUGUGAUCCUAAUACACAUUUUGGUUAUACAUUUUAGUUUGUAGGCUUGGUUCUUCGUUAUGGGGUUCUCGAGACCAGUUUUCAAAUUGUGCGACUCUUGCGUAAUUUUAUGGUACUGAAAAAAUAAAAUCCGACUUUGAAUUCAUGUUGGGCCCAUUUGCUGGUCACUUCCUUUGUUGCUGACCACAAUUUUUGCAUGAGCUUUAAUUACCAUCCCAGAGGAUGAAUUUGUUGAGGACCCAGGAUGGUUGUACGGAAAUGGACGGUACUAGUGGUUGGGAUUUUUUGUAUUGAAAUUCAAAGCUUCGCCCUAACAAGUGACGACGAAGAAAUCGAUUACUUGGGACAUGUAACUAUUCCUAAGAGCUUAGGUGACCAUUUGGAAGAAAUAAGAGAUAUUUCUGUAUGGAUUGAUCCAUAAAUACAACUUUUACACUGGAAAAUUGUAUAAGUAUGUGACUGUGUACAAUGGUUUGUGUUGUUGUAUAAGGCGCACAUAUUUUGAACAUGGGUUGGCAAAGCAAAAUCUUCUAAUUUAAUAUAUGCGAGGAGCAAGAGUCUAGAGUGAAAUAGAGAAAGUUUUAAGUGAAAAAAUGAAAACUGUGGAUGUAAUUGAAGUCGUCAGUGUUGGUCUGAAGUAAUAGGGUUUGUGGACGCUUAUUUCCAUACUAUUGCCACCAAGAAGCGAGAUAUUUCUGCAGAAAAUGCUAUAAUAAAGGCAGUGGGAGGUUGCGGUGUGUUCUCCUCGAACCCGAUUUUCGAUUUUGGAACUCCUGGACCAUUAUUUGUUGGGAUUUUUAUUCUGAUUACGGUCAUCAUUGAAGUGUUCACGCUAAUCGCAUAUAUGGUACUGAAAGGAUAAAAUCCGACUUUGAAUUCAUAUUGGGGCACAUAGGAUGAAUUCGUUGAGGACACAGAAUGGUAUGGCUCUGGAUUGUACUAGUGGAUUGGGAUUUAUACAGUUUCUAAACUGGAUUGUUACACAACACUACACCAUGAUAGAUAAAUUCAAAGCAUCGCCCAAACCGUCGCGUACGUGGGAUCCCAAUAAGGACCCAAUUUUGCGUUACACCUGGAUGAGGUCGACCAAAAAGUGCUAUUCGCAAAAUGAGCAAAAUCCAACGCAAAAUGUCAUUACGGGUGACUUCGAUUGUUGAUUCAUUGGACCCUCCAAGAUUUAAGACGAGUGUUAAUCCAUUGUCGAGGACGAAAUUCAUGACAAUUCCAUUUCGGAUGCGAAGCCUUUAGGAAGGGGACGUAUGUUGUUCAAAACACUAAUAUUAUUACGCAUGUUUGUCAAGCAAGGAUGCCACAACAGAGAUGUAAUUUAUCCGAAAUAAUUUUGGUGUAUAGCUGUUAGAUAUUACGUUGUUUAUGUUAUUACUGUUUUUUUUUAAUAAAGUGUUAAAAUGUG